GACGAACCGUGCGAACGUUGUUCGGAAUCACUGGGCUUAAAGGGCGCGUAGGCGGGCCGGCCAGUCCGAGGUGAAAGCCCCCGGCUCAACCGGGGAAGUGCCCCGGAUACUGCCGGCCUCGAGGGGGGUAGGGGCGUGCGGAACUUCCGGUGGAGCGGUGAAAUGCGUAGAUAUCGGAAGGAACACCGGUGGCGAAGGCGGCACGCUGGGCCCCUCCUGACGCUGAGGCGCGAAAGCCAGGGGAGCGAACGGG
rnacentral:rRNA from 1 species